GGCUGGUCUGAAGUUAGUGAGUUAUCUCAAUUGAUUUUUCACAGUUACAGAUCAAACUUCCUUGUUCUACUCUUUCUCCCUUCUCACUACUGCACUUAAAUGGUCUUAA
ensembl:misc_RNA Y_RNA Y RNA